ACCUUACACAGAAGAGGAAGGAAAAAGGCAUUUUGUGUUUGCUCAGAUGUGAUGCUUGUUAGCCCCAGUAUAGCUAAUCCUCUCUGUGUGACCUUUCUAACUUGAUUUCCAGGCAAUGGAGUAGCCCAGAAAUCGCUUUGGACAGCUGGAGAAGUGUCGACCCCACAUUGCUUGCUCCACCCCAGCUCAAGAUCUAGGUCUCGUACAGUGCUGGGAGCAUGAUGGCAGUGCAGUUAGCAGCCAAGAUACAGCAUUACAAACCUCAGGAGGAGCAAAUUGAAUAUUCAUAUAGUCUGCACAGAGCAUCCUAGUUCAGAAUUCUCAACUGCUUCCCACACUGUACUGGGUUUCUAAAAUCCCACCACUUUGCCACCAAGAUCUUUGAACUCUCUAGCCAGUCCAGCAGUUUCUGCAGCACAGGUUUUGGCUUUGCAGUCAGUGAGCAGAAGCAAUCCCAAGUGACUGAGGAAGACCAGUCACCCACGCUGCAGAGUGCAAACUGGCCCGUCCUGCUGUGUUCAAACGGAACAGACCUUGAGCAAGCCACGACACACAAAUACCUGAUGUAUUACUUCAGCAGCAAAUUCAACAAGGCCAAGAUGUCUUCAUUUCCCUUUAGAGCAAGGGCCGUAAGAGCGGUGCGAUGGAAGCAUUGGUCUUCUGUGGCCAGCCAGCAAGAACCCAUCAGCAGCUGUGAUGAGCAGAGCAGACAUGGGGAGACAGGAGGCAGGCGAAGCCAAAGAGGACCCACGCCUGGAGCUGUGUUUGUGAUUGGAGCAGAGAGAGGCCAGGACCCAAGGAAAUCCCAGCAGCAAAGGAAAAAAACAGAUUGACUCUCAGUGACUCAUUUAGCUCCUGGAUUGGACAGAUCUCUCCCCUGCUGGCAACUUGGCUGAGCAUCAAUGGACAGAUACCAGGAUGAAUAGCUUAAAAUAAUUAGGGGCUUGGAAUCUGCAAAAUUGCUAGCCAUCCAAUUCUUUUACUGUGCAGUGCGAGGCACAAAAAAGAAAUUACAUUUAGAUUAUUAAAUAUUAAGUCACAGGAUUUACCUCCAUUUGGUCCAGAACAGGAAACUGGAUAAAAUUCAACAUUUAUAUCGUUGUGUUGAUGGCCUGUUUAUCACUGAACAAAUUAGAGCAUUUUGGCAGGUCACGCUCUUUGACACAUGGGGUGAAUGUGUGCUUAAUUUCUCCCAAACAGAAGAAUUAAUAUAGUAAUAAUUAACAUAGAUGAGAACAGAAUUAAAAUCAAAUACAGUCAAGAGUUCAGUUUUAUGCCAGAAGUCUUACAUUUUAUAUGUUGUGGGGCCAGAUUUUUUUCCUGUUGAAGACGGCAAGGAUUUUGCCAUUGAUGUUAAUGGGAGCAGUAGUAGGCCUUGAAUGCAGAGAAACAGGAUUCCCUGUACUUUAAUGCUCGAAAACAGAAGCAACAGGCUCAUUUAGUAUCAGUAAAGGUCAGUUAAAAUUAUAGAGACAUCCUUUGGAGCAAAUCCUCUGCCUUGUAUUUGCAUAUUUAUGAACUAGAGAUUAUGACAGGCCGUUCCAUUUAUUAGAGAAGCGUCGCUAUAGUUAAUAGUCUGUCAGUAUUUCCAUUACAAACCCCGUUUUUCAGUUUUUUAAUAUCUCAGCCGUUUAAAAUCACAUCAGGAAGCAAGUUGGCCCUCGUGUUGUCAGGCCAGGAUAGAAGGGAAAAGAGGAAUUUAGCCAGUCACAUCCCCCAAGAUGGCACCUUUUAAGAACACUUUCUCAGGCAGCUGCUCUCCGAAGAAACGCAUUUACCCCAUGGAAAGAGAAACAGACAGUUCCUGGUAAUGGGUCUGCUUUCACCAUUUGAAUUCAAGCCCGUUAAAGGAUUUGAGGAAAGCCAUUCAGCGCUGUGGGUAGCGAGGAAUGAACGCGAUCUGUCUACAUGAGUUACAGAGCCGUGAGGAAGAAGAGCUUUCAGAGCUAACCAAGAGUUAACUGGCUACAUUUCAACUGUCACCAUUGUCUUACAUCUACAUAGCGAGCAAGAGAGCCAGAGAGAUGUAAAUGCUUCAGAAAUGUACGAUUUCCUGUAAAAAUCCAAUGAACACAACAGCCCAGAUGCCUCGGAGACGGGCACUCUAGAAACACAGAGGAUCUGCACCACUGCAUGUGAAGCCCUGCUAGGAAAUGUGGCCAGCAUGUGGGAGUUCAAAGGCUUUGGCUGCUACAGCGUUGGCUUCUGAGUGCCGUCACACCUAGGAGGACCUAGACGCUGAAAGACGUGACCAUGCUCACACAGUAGCCUUUGAAACAGAGCACGUGAGUGAACCUGCUCCUAACCACUUUUGUAGAUGUGUCAUCAAGCGACCUACACAGCCCUCUUGCAGUCCUAUCAAGGCUGGAUUUGGGAGGAGGCAGCAUUUUCUACUGAAAAAAUAAACAUUUGUAACCAACCUGAUUGAUUAACUCUGUGUUAUCCCAGAAGAGUGGCCACAGCCAUACAGUGAAAUGCUUCCAAAGGAUCCCAAAAUGUUCAGUGAUGAGCACGUGCUGUGCUACUUCCAGUCCCUGCUCUCCUGCCAGUCUGGGGAGGUGGAGGAGAGGAGGGCAGGACUCAGAGACAUGAUGCCUGAACAUCAGCAGUUUUUGAGUAAUACUAGAAAAAGGUGGCUGAUUCUCCACUCCCUUUUACUGGUUACAUGCCAGCGUAAUUCUUCUGCAGUCACUGGAGUUAUACAAUACAACAGAGCAAACAUGCAGCUCGAUAUAUUUAAUGUCAAUAGAGUUAAUAAUGUUAAUGUUAACAGAGGCCAGAGCAGCAGGCAGGUCUGACCCCUGGCCUCUCUAAUUUGCCUCAGUAGGUCACACCUUAACCCUAUUAUUUUCCUUAAUUUUUUCUAACUUGUAAUCUUCCUGGGUAUCAUGAGAAUAAAGUUUGCCUCCCAAGUAACUCCUCUAACCCAAACAUAUCCCUGUUUAAAUAUUGGGAUUGGGAUAAAGGACACCAUGCUUAAAUGGUAUCCUUUGAAAUGGGGCACUGUGCAUAAAAAGGCUUGCCAGAUCCCUGUCAGAGGGGUUAGCUGAAGAGUGGGGAACUGGAAACAUUAACUGCAGCCAAUUUCUUUUUUCUAUUUGUUAAGCCACUUGGUCCAAACAGUAUGAACAUUUGGUGCAUUUAGUUUUAAAUAUGUCAAAUGCUCCUUUAGGAAAGAACUUUCAAAAAUCUAAAAUCUUCUUUUAAGAUCAAAUUCACU